rnacentral:rRNA from 1 species
CCUACGGGCGGCUGCAGUGAGGAAUAUUGGUCAAUGGGCGGAAGCCUGAACCAGCCAUCCCGCGUGCAGGAAGACAGCCCUAUGGGUUGUAAACUGCUUUUCCAGUGGGCGAAACACUCGUACGUGUACGAGAUUGACGGUACACUGGGAAUAAGCAUCGGCUAACUCCGUGCCAGCAGCCGCGGUAAUACGGAGGAUGCAAGCGUUAUCCGGAUUUAUUGGGUUUAAAGGGUGCGUAGGCGGAUGAAUAAGUCAGUGGUGAAAGGCUGCAGCUUAACUGUAGACUUGCCGUUGAUACUGUUUAUCUUGAGUAUGGUCAAGGCAGGCGGAAUGUGUAAUGUAGCGGUGAAAUGCUUAGAUAUUACACAGAACACCGAUUGCGAAGGCAGCUUGCUGGGCCAUUACUGACGCUGAUGCACGAAAGCGUGGGGAGCGAACAGGAUUAGAUACCCGUGUAGUC